rnacentral:miRNA from 1 species
GCUGACCGAGCCGCUUAGGGG